AGACAUGUGACAGCUGACAGGGAUAUAAACGUAACGUGACAAUCGACUUGAAGCCCGUAUGAUAAAAUAAAAUUGAUAGUCAAAGUAGUAGUACACUCGCUUCCAUAAAUAUGUAGGCCACCGCCCGCGGGUUGUACCGCUUCAAAUUGAAGUAGCUACUCCAAUUAAGAACUCACUACCUAGUUCUGAAAAAAAGGUCUCAGCGUUUAAGAGAUUUGAAAGUCGAUUGGGAUCUCCCAGUCCCAGCUGGCGUUUCGCAGCUAACGCUGUCAUCAGUUAAACGAACUUAUGGGAGAACCUGUAAAAACCUACUAGUCACUGAAACCAGUAGAAGCUAGAAGUUCUGAUACUCCUAUAGAAGACAGUAUUGUCUCUACUGAAUAUGAGAACGAAAAAAAACGUCUGAGUGCCAUAUCUUUCGUUGAUUGUUGGGCCAUCUGUAGCCUGUCUAUCGAAUAUUGAUGCUUCUUCGACGACCCACAGUUACGAUUGAAGAUAGUCACAGUUCUGGAACUCUUUUGGGACAGCAGCGUCUCUAUAGAAUAUGACGAAAACGCCGCAAAUUUGAAGAAAAAGCGUGCCAUCGUUCAUUGUUGGACCGUCUUUAGCCAGUCUAUCGAACAGUGAAGCUUCUUCGACUAGAUUACCCACAGUUCUGAUGGAAGAAAGUCGAAGUUCUAAUACUCCUGUAGGAGACAGCAUCGUCUCUAUUGAAUAUGACCAGAAUGACCCAGGAUCGAAGAAAAAGCAUAUAGUACCGCCGUUGAUUGUUGGACCAUCUCUAGCUUGUCUUAUUUUUCUUUUCAGAAUUAUCAUCCUGUUGGAGUAAUAUUGUAGGAUAGAAUAGAAGUCACUGUAUGUUAUCACCGAACGCUAUCAAUCUCCAGUAAAAGAAGUGCUGAUAGGUAGUUACUUACAUUUAAUUUUAACAAGAUCCGGUGUGACGUGGGGUGGCGGGGCGAAGCCUCCGCCGCACCAAAGUCACGCCUUACCCUUACGCCGCGCCAUAUCAUAUUAGGUUUUUUGGAAUUGAAUUUGUAUUUAAUGUUUGGAUAGAAACAUGCGGAAAUAUGCUUUUCAUCUCUUUCUCGAUUUCUGCCUAUUACAUUCUUCCGGAAACUAAGGGCAUAACAUUUUUUUUGGCUCUUCCCUAGCAAGACAAGUUUUCUGCUAUCGAAAAACGAUUAAUACAGGGGUGUAGAUCUUU